ensembl:lncRNA
CCUAACCAUCCAGCCCCUCAGCCUCAUGCAUCUCCCUUCCUCUGAGCCUUCCCACCCUACCUUCAGUUCGGUUCAGUUCAGUUCAGUCAAUCAGCUGUGUCUGACUCUUUGCAACCCCAUGAAUCGCAGCACGCCAGGCCUCCCUGUCCAUCACCAUCUCCCGGAGUUCACUCAGACUCACAUCCAUCAACGUAUAAAGACGCACUUCUCGAGUUACUGGUCGUUUAAAACAAUCUAGUGAUUUACUCCUACAUUUUUUCUCUCUGCCUCAUCCCUCCAGAAACUGGAGACUCUUGGGUUCUGAACAGCCUUAUCAGCAGAUUUGGAAAACUCGGCAGUGGCCGCAGGACAGGAAAAGGUCAGGUUCCAUUCCAGUCCCAAGUGUUGCUCCUUGCAUUAGCAGGUGUGUGGCUGAGCCGCUGAUGUAAUGAUGGCAUGCAGUUGCGUAUGAAAUCGCUAGCUGUGGAAAGAAGAGAAGCGAAAAGCAAAGGAGAAAAGGAAAGACAUGAGCAUCUGAAUGCAGAGUUCCAAAGAACAGCAAGGAGAGAUGAGAAAGCCUUCCUCAGCGAUCCAUGCAAAGAAAUAGAGGAAAACAACAGAAUGGGAAAGACCAGAGAUCUCUUCAAGAAAAUUAGAGAUACCAAGGGGACAUUUCAUGCAAAGGUGGGCUCAAUAAAGGACAGAAAUGGUAGGGACCUAACAGAAGCAGAAGAUAUUAAGAAGAG